UACGUAGGGUGCGAGCGUUAAUCGGAAUUACUGGGCGUAAAGCGUGCGCAGGCGGUUCGUCGUGUCCGAUGUGAAAGCCCCGGGCUCAACCUGGGAAUGGCAUUGGAAACUGGCGGACUCGAGUGUGGCAGAGGGGGGUGGAAUUCCGCGUGUGGCAGUGAAAUGCGUAGAGAUGCGGAGGAACACCGAUGGCGAAGGCAGCCCCCUGGGCUAACACUGACGCCCAGGCACGAAAGCGUGGGGAGCAAACAGG
rnacentral:rRNA from 1 species